GGAGUCUGGGCCGUGUCUCAGUCCCAAUGUGGCCGUUCACCCUCUCAGGCCGGCUAUGGAUCGUCGCUUUGGUGGGCCGUUACCCCGCCAACUGGCUAAUCCAACGCGGAGCCAUCCUGUACCACCGGAGUUUUUCACACUGGACCAUGCGGUCCCGUGCGCUUAUGCGGUAUUAGCAGUAAUUUCUCACUGUUAUCCCCCAGUACAGGGCAGGUUCUCCACGCGUUACUCACCCGUCCGCCACUAACCUGAAAUCGACUUCAACCGAAGUCUCUGUCAAAAACAGGUCCGUUCGACUUGCAUGUGUUAAGCACGCCGCCAGCGUUCAUC
rnacentral:rRNA from 1 species